rnacentral:rRNA from 1 species
CAAGUCGAACGAGCGAGAGAGAGCUUGCUUUCUCGAGCGAGUGGCGAACGGGUGAGUAACGCGUGAGGAACCUGCCUCAAAGAGGGGGACAACAGUUGGAAACGACUGCUAAUACCGCAUAAGCCCACAGGUCGGCAUCGACCAGAGGGAAAAGGAGCAAUCCGCUUUGAGAUGGCCUCGCGUCCGAUUAGCUAGUUGGUGAGGUAACGGCCCACCAAGGCAACGAUCGGUAGCCGGACUGAGAGGUUGAACGGCCACAUUGGGACUGAGACACGGCCCAGACUCCUACGGGAGGCAGCAGUGGGGAAUAUUGCACAAUGGGGGAAACCCUGAUGCAGCGACGCCGCGUGGAGGAAGAAGGUCUUCGGAUUGUAAACUCCUGUUGUUGAGGAAGAUAAUGACGGUACUCAACAAGGAAGUGACGGCUAACUACGUGCCAGCAGCCGCGGUAAAACGUAGGUCACAAGCGUUGUCCGGAAUUACUGGGUGUAAAGGGAGCGCAGGCGGGAAGACAAGUUGGAAGUGAAAUCUAUGGGCUCAACCCAUAAACUGCUUUCAAACUGUUUUUCUUGAGUA